AUUUGUUGGACUAUACCCUCGGUGGACUCUUUGUAAACAAAGUUUGACCUCACCACUCCUUUACAUUUCUAAGCAUAGGUUCAGAGUUGCGUUGCAAGCACCGUGUAAACGGCAUCUGAACAGAGCAGCUCCGUUCGGCAGGAGUGCACCACAACUGUUUGAUCAAAGUCCUAUAUGGAAAUCCUUUCACAUUUUGAGUACAUGUAAAUAGAAAAUAAUAACAAACCGAUCCUAGCAUAGUUGGAGGUUACGAAUUCCGACAUAGAUACAUGUAUAUUAAUUCCUAACACAGUUGUUCAUUUAUUAUACUUACUCACAAAUAGUAUACAUACUUAUUCCUAACUCA